CUACAGUCACCCAGACCACUUCAUCUCAUUGAAGUAGUCAGGGUACAGUGUCUUCUAUGUGAUUACAUUGAAGCACUAAGGCUGCCUCUAGGCACAUCCUGAGUCCUAACGGUCUUUUGGUCGCUUAACUGAUGCUGGACAUCCUCACGUCGCAAUUCCUACCUACAAAGAUGGCAUAACGCUCGUCUUGCAUACACAUUAGCACCCUUCCCUGGUCACAGGAGGUGGAACAUCGCAGGGUAUAAAUGCUGAAAUUGGUUAAGGGAG